rnacentral:rRNA from 1 species
ACGCUCGACACCUACGGGAGGCAGCAGUGGGGAAUAUUGCACAAUGGGGGAAACCCUGAUGCAGCGACGCCGCGUGGAGGAAGAAGGUCUUCGGAUUGUAAACUCCUGUUGUUGGGGAAAAAGAGGAUGGUACCCAACAAGGAAGUGACGGCUAACUACGUGACAGCAGCCGCGGUAAUCUGAGCGGGCUGGCAAGC